GUCUGGGUGGCUCAGUUGGUUAGAGCAUGGGUCUCAUAUUUCGAAUAUGAGUAAGCUCCGCUUACGCAAUCCCGGGAUCGCGAGUUCGACUCUCGCCCUGGACA